rnacentral:rRNA from 1 species
UACGAAGGGGGCUAGCGUUGUUCGGAAUCACUGGGCGUAAAGGGCGCGUAGGCGGUGUGUCAAGUCAGGCGUGAAAGCCCCGGGCUCAACCUGGGAACCGCGCUUGAGACUGGCACGCUAGAGUUCGGGAGAGGAUGGUGGAAUUCCCAGUGUAGAGGUGAAAUUCGUAGAUAUUGGGAAGAACACCGAUGGCGAAGGCAGCCCUCUGGACCGACACUGACGCUGAGGCGCGAAAGCGUGGGGAGCAAACAGG